UACACACCCAAGAGUUACCAUGCAUGAUCCGUGAAUGAUGGGUAUCAGGCCUGGACCAGGUUUGAUUCUAUAACGGUCCAGCAUCGACGGCCAUCACUGCUGAAUCGAGGCUGUUGCUCUGGCCUGGACCAGUAUCUAUUUCAGUCCCGAUGUAGUCAUAGCUGAUACAGUAAUGUCUGUUCGUCAGCACUGGUCCAGGCUGUAUAUCAGUACUGGAUCAGAUCGAUGCUUUUCAAGAUGGCAGCCCCGAGUGGACUACCUGACAUGUUUUGUUAAAGAAAAUCAUCUUAAUCUGACUCUUUAAGAGAAAUCUCGUUGGCUGUACACACUAGGGCUAAAUCACUGGAUGUUAUUAUUGAGCCAAACAUUGAAACAGAGCCAGAAGACCUUUCUGCAAUAAUCAUGACACUAGUGAAGACGAUGAGAAAUCAGGCGUAAAAAUGGUUCACUACAUGUGAUUGUAACUAUGUUUUUAAUUAGGGUGAAUGUAUUAGUGAUCAUGAUGAUGAAGAUAUUGUACUGAGAGACUUAUGAAUGAUAGUCACAAGUGUGAAUUUUUGAUACGGAAGAUUAUUCUGGAAAUAUUAGUAUAGUAGGUGCUCCUUUAAUUCAUAUUAAUUUAUUAAUUUAGCAAGGCCACUAGUAUACAUUGUAUAGUUACCUUAUCUCACUAAGUUUCAAGACAAGAAUAUCUUAGGUUUGUUUAAUUUCAUGUGAAAAGCUAAAUUCAUUAUUCAGGUUGUGAUGAACUGAAACUUUCUUGUUUAAAGCUCUUGUUAAGUUCACUUCAAAUAGCAUUGAAUUUUUUUGUGAACCUGCCUUCAUCAUGCUGGUUAAGGAAGUUAUGUUAUGGAUCUAAGCUUUGUAGGACUAUGUGUUACAAGAUACCUUUGAAAGAUCUGCUUCACUACAUGGAACCCCAGAGUUCAUUAAUGUUGGGAGAUUUUGGGAAAUUAAUUUCUCAGUAAUGUGUCUUAAGUUACAAAACAUGAAGUGUCUUACUUGUGGAACAUUGGUAGACUAUGAUGAAGAAAACAAUUAUAAUCUUUUUUUGGUUUUAAUAAUAAUUCCAAAUCAUUUUAAAUUAAUAA